rnacentral:rRNA from 1 species
AGUGAACGCUGGCGGUAGGCCUAACACAUGCAAGUCGAACGGCAGCACAGUAAGAGCUUGCUCUUACGGGUGGCGAGUGGCGGACGGGUGAGGAAUACAUCGGAAUCUACUUUUUCGUGGGGGAUAACGUAGGGAAACUUACGCUAAUACCGCAUACGACCUACGGGUGAAAGCAGGGAUCUUUGGACCUUGUGCGAUUGAAUGAGCCGAUUUCGGAUUAGCUAGUUGGCGGGGUAAAGGCCCACCAAGGCGACGAUCCGUAGCUGGUCUGAGAGGAUGAUCAGCCACACUGGAACUGAGACACGGUCCAGACUCCUACGGGAGGCAGCAGUGGGGAAUAUUGGACAAUGGGCGCAAGCCUGAUCCAGCCAUACCGCGUGGGUGAAGAAGGCCUUCGGGUUGUAAAGCCCUUUUGUUGGGAAAGAAAAGCAGCAGGUUAAUACCCCGCAGUUCUGACGGUACCCAAAGAAUAAGCACCGGCUAACUUCGUG